UAUAUUUUAUAGUAUCAGCACAUGUUCUAUAAUAGCACAGAGAAAUAGACGUAAAGGAGUGUUUAGAAUCUCUGAACAAAAAAAAACAACUGUUUUUGUUUGCAUUGGGUAUAGGACCUUUUCAAAUGUUACGCGAGUUUCGCAUAACAACAACUUAAAUGCUAUCAUCAUCGCGGGAAAACGAAAGAAACGCCAGCAACUCAAAUUCGCCAAGAAAAUGAAUAUUCAGCUUCCACCCAGAAGAAGUAGGAUCUUAAAGGUUAGCCCGGUAAGCCAUCGUCGGGUACUCGGAAGAUCUGUGCCAGAUCUGCUGCUAAAGGGCGAUCCUGGAACUAGUUCUAAACAGAUCAUCGGAUCUGGGUGUUUAUGGCGUCUUUCGGAAUAUCCGCGACAACUCGGAACCGAUGUCGGAACUGCGUUAUAGAUGGAAGUGGAAUUUUCCCUCGAAUUUUGUGGAAGCCGGGCAUGAUAGCUCACUCGGAACUGACCGACCGACUUCGGCAAGGAAGAGUCAUCAGGCAACAUUUUCGAUGACGAUGAGGAUGAAUUUAAACCAGCUAUUUUGAACAAUCAGCACCGGCGAAAGCUGCAGCCUCGACUGUAGGGAAAAAUGUCAGCUCCAGCAGCUAAACCUACAGCAUCUGUGACUGCCAAGCGACCAGUUCCGGCCAACAAGCAAGUCGAGUAAAAACUCUAGCAAGGAGAAAGAGGAACAACUGCUUUUGAAGAAACUGUGGUGGUGAUGGGCGGUGACUUCUGCCAAGAAAAAUGAGGAAACCUCCAGUGUGGAUUCGCCGGAUUCCGACGCGGAGUCUA